UACGAAGGGGGGCUAGCGUUGCUCGGAAUCACUGGGCGUAAAGCGCACGUAGGCGGAUUGCUAAGUCAGGGGUGAAAUCCUGGAGCUCAACUCCAGAACUGCCUUUGAUACUGGCGAUCUUGAGUCCGGGAGAGGUGAGUGGAACUGCGAGUGUAGAGGUGAAAUUCGUAGAUAUUCGCAAGAACACCAGUGGCGAAGGCGGCUCACUGGCCCGGUACUGACGCUGAGGUGCGAAAGCGGUGGGGA
rnacentral:rRNA from 1 species